GAUGAACGCUGACAGAAUGCUUAACACAUGCAAGUCAACUUGAAUUUGGGUUUUUAACUUAGGUUUGGGUGGCGGACGGGUGAGUAACGCGUAAAGAACUUGCCUCACAGCUAGGGACAACAUUUGGAAACGAAUGCUAAUACCUAAUAUUAUGAUAAUAGGGCAUCCUAUAAUUAUGAAAGCUAUAAGCGCUGUGAGAGAGCUUUGCGUCCCAUUAGCUAGUUGGAGAGGUAACGGCUCACCAAGGCGAUGAUGGGUAGCCGGCCUGAGAGGGUGAUCGGUCAGAAGGGGGAGGAGACACGGCCCUUACGCCGGAGAGAGGGAGCAAUGGAGAAUGUUGGACAAUGGACAGAGAGUGUGAUGCAGCGAUUUUGGGUGCAGGAAAAAAUAUUUCGCAAUACAAAGUGAUUUCAGGUGGGAAGAAACAAAUGCCGGUACCGACAGAAGAAGUGACGGGUAAAUACGUG
rnacentral:rRNA from 1 species